rnacentral:rRNA from 1 species
CAGCCGCCGCGGGAAUACGAAGGGUGCAAGCGUUACUCGGAAUUACUGGGCGUAAAGCGUGCGUAGGUGGUGGUUUAAGUCCGUUGUGAAAGCCCUGGGCUCAACCUGGGAAUUGCAGUGGAUACUGGAUCACUAGAGUGUGGUAGAGGAUAGUGGAAUUUCCGGUGUAGCAGUGAAAUGCGUAGAGAUCGGAAGGAACAUCUGUGGCGAAGGCGACUAUCUGGGCCAACACUGACACUGAGGCACGAAAGCGUGGGGAGCAAACAGGAUUAGAUACCCCCGUAGUCCCUGUCUCUUAUAC